GACGAACGCUGGCGGCGUGCCUAAUACAUGCAAGUCGAACGCAGUGGGGACGGGUGAGUAAAACGUGGGUAACCUCCCAUCAGAGGGGAUAACACUUGGAAACAGGUGCUAAACCGAUACUGAUGGAUGACCCCGCGGUGCAUUAGCUAGUUGGUGAGGUAACGGCUCACCAAGGCCACGAUGCAUAGACGACCUGAGAGGGGGAUAGGCCAGACGGGGACUGAGAAACGGCCCAGACGCCUCGGGGAGGCAGCAGUAGGGAAUCUUCGGCAAUGGACGAAAGUCUGACCGAGCAACGCCGCGGGAGUGAAGAAGGUUUUCGGAUCGGAAAACUCUGUUGUUAGGGAAGCGGUAUCUAACCAGAAAGCCACGGCUAACUACGUGCCAGCAGCCGCGGUAAGAC
rnacentral:rRNA from 1 species